CCUGGGUUUCUCCUAAUGCAAGACAAUGCUAGACCUCAUGUGGCUGGAGUGUGUCAGCAGUUCCUGCAAGACGAAGGCAUUGAUGCUAUGGACUGGCCCGCCCGUUCCCCAGACCUGAAUCCAAUUGAGCACAUCUGGGACAUCAUGUCUUGCUCCAUCCACCAACGUCACAUUCCACCACAGACUGUCCAGGAGUUGGUAUAUGCUUUAGUACAGGUCUGGGAGGAGAUCACUCAGGAGACCAUCCGCCACCUCAUCAGGAGCAUGCACAGGCAUUGGAGGGAGGUCAUACAGG